rnacentral:lncRNA from 1 species
UGCAGGCAAGAGUGCUGGAGGGCGGCAGCGGCGACCGGAGCGGUAGGAGCAGCAAUUUAUCCGUGUGCAGCCCCAAACUGGAAAGAAGAUGCUAAUUAAAGUGAAGGAACCAAAGCGGGGAGUGUGUUCAGUCAGUACCUGCCUUUCUGAGCCUGGCAUCCUGGACCAGCCUCACUUCCUUGGCUGAGGCAGGUUCUCACUCUGUCGCCCAGGCUUAGGGUGCAGUGGUGCCAUCACAGCUUACUGCAGCCUCGACCUCUCAGGCCCAAGCAAUUCUCCCAUCUGAGCCUCCUGAGUAGCUGGGACUACAGGCGUGUGCUACCACCAUACCCAGCCAAUUGUUUUAUUUUUUUGUAGAGAUGCGGUCUCAUCGUGUUGCCCACGCUAGUCUAAAACUUCUGGGGUCAAGUGAUCUUCCCACCUCAUCUUCCUAAAGUGCUGGGAUUACAGCCGUGAGCUACCAUAUCUGACCCCUUUUUGAAUUAUUAUUAUUUUUGUUUUGUUUUGCUUUUGAGAUGGAGUCUCACUCUGUCGCCCAGGCUGGAGUACAGUGGCACGAUCUUGGCUCAUUGCAACCUCCGCCUCUUGGGUUCAAGCGAUGCUCCUGCCUCAGCCUCCCAAGUAGCUGGGACUACAAGUGCCCACCACCAUACCCGGCUAACUUUUGUAUUUUAGUAGAGACGGGGUUUCGCCAUGUUUGCCAGGCUGGUCUUGAACGCCUGACCUGAGGUGAUCCACCCACCUCAGCCUCCCAAAGUGCUGGGAUUACAGGCAUGAGCCACCGCGCCUGGCCUCAUUUUGUUUUUGUUUUGAGACAUUCUUACUCUGUCACCCAGGCUGGAGUGCAGUGGUAUGAUCUCGGCUCACUGCAACCUCCACCUCCCAGGCUCAAGGGAUCCUCCCAACUCAGCCUCCCAAGUAGCUGGGACUACAGGUACAUGCCACCACACCUGGCUGAUUUUCUGUAUUUUUAGUAGAGGUGGGGUUUCACCAUGUUGCCCAGGCUGGUCUUGAACUCCUGAGCUCAAGUGAUCCACCUGCCUUGGCCUCCCGAAGUGCUGGGAUUACAGGCGUGAGCCACCAUGCCCAGCCGAAUGAUUCAUUUUCAACUGCUGUCUCUGUGUAGCUGACUUCUUCCAUAUUUUUCUAUAAGAUUUUACAAUUAAAUUCUUCCUGAUUUAAAUCUUGUUACCUUGUCUCUAUGGUUCUAAAAUUAAAUGCAUCAUCUUCUGUCAUAAGCCAUAUCCCAAUACCCAUCUCGUGUAUUAAUCCCAUCAAUCAUUCAGGUGUCUGGAAUACAAUUCUUUAGAGUCAUUUAAAAUUACGUGGUCCUUUUAUAAGAUCUAAUUUUUCACUUAAAAGCUCUUUCUGUUUGAUUUUUGUUUCCAUCUCCAUUACCCUCAUUCUGGUCUCGGGUCUUACUCAUUUAUAUGUUUAUGUCUCUGUAAUACAUCCAACCAGGUUUUCCUACCGUCAUAUCCCCUCUAAAGUGUAGUCUAAACCAAGACAUGACGUACAAAACCAUAAUGUGCAGGUCUUCCUUUAGCUUCUUUUUCAUUAUAUUACUCCCUAACCCCAGAUCCUUCAUUGAUUUCCUCAUUGCAGAUUACUUUGGCAACUGUCUUUACUGUGUGAAUCAGUUUUCUCAUUCAUGUUUUUUAACAUACAGUAAAAUGCACAGUUCUUAAGGGUUUAGUUCAGUGAGUUUUUGACAAUAGCAUACGUUCAUGUAAUUACAAAAUCUAAACAUUUGUAUUCCUACCCCCUCAAGAGUUUCAUAGGUUAGUUUUGCUUGUUUUAGAACUUUAUAUAAAUGGAAUUAUUGAAUGUACAAUUUUUGUAUCUGGCUUCUUUCAUUCUGCAUAAUGUCUACUGUAAUCUGUGGUUUAUUCCUUCUUAUUACUGAAUAGUAUUCCAUUGGAUGAAUUAUAUCAUAAUUUGUUUAUCCAUUCUCCUGUUGAUGGGUGUUUGAGUUAUCUCCAGUUUCUGGCUAUUAUGAAAAAGUCUUCUAUGAACAUUGUUAUACGAGUGUUUUUGUAAACAUAUGUUUUUAUUUCCUUUGGAUAAAUACCUAAGAAUGAAAUUACUAGGUCAUGUGGUAGAUAUAUGUAACUUUAAAAAGAAACUAAGGGUUUGUACCAUUUUAUAUUCCCACCUGCAGUGUAUGAGCAUUCCAGUUGCUCUGUACCCUUACUAGACGGUACCCUUGUAGCACCAUAAAAAUGCUGAUGUCAGUCAUUUUUAUUUUGGCUAUUAUAGUGUUAUAAUGUUAUAUAAAUUAAAACACUAUAUCUAGUGUU